rnacentral:rRNA from 1 species
UACGUAGGGUGCAAGCGUUGUCCGGAAUUAUUGGGCGUAAAGAGCUCGUAGGCGGUCUGUCGCGUCUGCUGUGAAAACUCAGGGCUUAACCCUGAGCUUGCAGUGGGUACGGGCAGACUAGAGUGCGGUAGGGGAGACUGGAAUUCCUGGUGUAGCGGUGAAAUGCGCAGAUAUCAGGAGGGAACACCGGUGGCGAAGGCGGGUCUCUGGGCCGUAACUGACGC